rnacentral:rRNA from 1 species
CCUGGUGGUUUUGGCGAAGCGCUCAGAACCCGAUCCCAUUCCGAACUCGGCCGUUAAACGCUUCAGCGCCGAUGGUACUAUGUCUUAAGGCAUGGGAGAGUAGGUCGCUGCCAGGU